rfam:Gossypium arboreum cultivar AKA8401 contig_118441_1, whole genome shotgun sequence.
AACCCAUGAUGAGGGCACCGUCUCAACAGGUCCUUGUAUCUCUCUCAUGCAUUGUAAAGUGUUUCUAAAUACAUCUGCACAAAAGAAAAGAUAUCAUUACGUAAUUU